AGUGAACGCUGGCGGCAGGCCUAACACAUGCAAGUCGAACGGCAGCACAGUAGCAGCUUGCUGUUACGGGUGGCGAGUGGCGGACGGGUGAGAAAUACACCGGAACCUACUUUUUCGAGAGCGAGAAGGAAGCCGGACUAAUACUACAUACGCACAACGCCUGAGGGCGAAAGCAGUGCGUCUUCGGACCUUGCGCGUUGGCCGAAGCCGAUGUCGGAUUAGCUAGUUGGCGGGGUAAAGGCCUACCAAGGCGACGAUCCGUAGCUGGUCUGAGAGGAGGAUCAGCCACACUGGAACUGAGACACGGUCCAGACUCCUACGGGAGGCAGCAGUGGGGAAUUUUGGACAAUGGGCGAAAGCCUGAUCCAGCAAUGCCGCGUGGGUGAAGAAGGCCUUCGGGUUGUAAAGCCCUUUUGUUGGGAAAGAAAAGCAUCGGUUUAAUACAGCGGUGUUCUGACGGUACCCAAAGAAUAAGCACCGGCUAACUACGUG
rnacentral:rRNA from 1 species